GACCUCAAAUCAGGUAGGACUACCCGCUGAACUUAAGCAUAUCAAUAAGCGGAGGAAAAGAAACUAACAAGGAUUCCCCUAGUAACUGCGAGUGAAGCGGGAAAAGCUCAAAUUUAAAAUCUGGCGGUCCUUGUGGCCGUCCGAGUUGUAAUUUAGAGAAGUGUUAUCCGCGCUGGACCGUGUACAAGUCUCCUGGAAUGGAGCGUCAUAGAGGGUGAGAAUCCCGUCUUUGACACGGACUGCCAGGGCAUUGUGAUGCGCUCUCGAAGAGUCGAGUUGUUUGGGAAUGCAGCUCAAAAUGGGUGGUAAAUUCCAUCUAAAGCUAAAUAUUGGGGAGAGACCGAUAGCGAACAAGUACCGUGAGGGAAAGAUGAAAAGAACUUUGGAAAGAGAGUUAAACAGUACGUGAAAUUGCUGAAAGGGAAACGC
rnacentral:rRNA from 1 species